AGUAUUGUCAGACGCCAGGCGAGACAGGAGACAUGCGCGGUGCUACCUUCCCUAGUAUUCGGCCAUUUUUGGUUCAUGGUGAUAAUAAAUAAGUGUCAUGGUAAACAAAAUGCAGUCAGAGUGAGGGAAAUGUCGCUCGUCAGUAAUAGCUGAGUUGGUAAAAUGCUGUAGAUAUGGCAGAAGACAAGUGAGUAAAACAUUUCAGGCGAAAACUGGAGUGUAACCUGAUAGAGCUGCUGAGAGGAUUUAAAGUGAUAGCAUCAGUUCCCGACCAAUUUUGCCGCGGAGAAAAAUAUGAUCAACCAGCUACGAUACGUCACGAGAAAGCUUCAGGGUCAAACUUUAAAUGAGGCUCCAGAUAGCGGCGGAAAGGUUGGCAGUGAAGAUCGGGACUCUGGCACCGAGUCUGAUGACGAACAGCCCUACGACGAUCCUGAGCCUGGUAUGUGUCACCUUGUACCUCAUCACCCUGCACCCAUCUUACCCCAGCACAAGCCACCUUACCCACUGCAUCCCAGCAGCCCUUACAACUCAAAGCAGUGAGAUGUCCAGUGAGGUGUCCAGUGGGUGCAGCGUGAGGUCACGCCCCACUAGCCAGACCAGCACAGACACCCUCACCUGCGACGACCUCCCAAUGGCUGCUGAUGCCCCAGAUAUGCCCCCCCCAGCCACCAUUCCCCCAUCCUCUAGCACUUCCUCCAUAGGCCCCUAUCAUCAUCCACACCCACACCAUCACCAUCAUCAACAUCACCACAACCAUCACCAUCACCACCAUCACCUCCAUCAUAGUCACAACCCACACUUAGGACGGAGAGCAAGGACUCCUCGCCAUCUCCACCCUCCCUUACGGACCUCAGACCUUCCAAGAGAGUCCCCAGCCUUAGAGUCUCCUAUAGAACCUUUCCCGGACUCUGAAUUUGUUAGUGAAUGUGAUGCGUGUGACCCUGUUGAACACCACUCAUCGGAAGAAGAGUUGGAAACACUCACAGGAUCCUGGCCAAGGGAAACGGGACCCCCAGAAAAGAGGAAAUGGUCACAAGUUGCAAGAGUAUCCCUUACAGAUUCAGGUAGCAGUGAUGAAGAAGUGUGUGGCUUGACCACAGGGCCUCGCCCACCCGUCCAAUUUAGAACCUCUCCUCCCCUUGAGGCCCACAAGCCACUGCGGUCUGUGUCUCCUCCUACCAAAGUGCUCAGUCUUGCAAACAGUGGGCGGGAAGGCAUGUCAUCAGUAGGUGGAGGAGAAACAAGUGGGUCACCUGGAGUUGCUGCUGGAAAUGAUGGUGGGACAACUCGAACUGAGAGUGGGCCCAGGGCAGCUUCUCCUCGCAAGAGGCAUAGGCAAACACCUCGCCCUCACCAGAUGCACCGCCCAUGUCUAGAUUUUGAAAAAAUGCAGCAGAUGCAAAAUCGAACAGUUACUCAGUGGAGGAAUGGUGGGGAACUUUCCCUCUCCUCCUGCUAGUUUUCUGCUCCCGAAGGGUGGCCAUUAAGAUCCCUCAAGCAAGUUGAGAUUGUGUUCUUUUGGGGGAACAAAGGUUGUAUAGGAGAAAGGAUACUAAUGCAGGUCUCAUCAUUUCAGUGUUGAAAGCUUUGUUAUUGCUUAUGUAAUAGCAAGCAAACCUAAUUGAAUACCUUUUGGUGGCACCUAGGAGAAGGCAUCAUAGUGACAGACCAGGAAAGGAGAAAAGUGAUUGAUAAUCAAUCUUAGUGAAAGUGAAAGUAAUUUUAGAAAAAGAAAACGGAUUGAUAAAACAAGUCUUCAGCAAUUAUUUAUCAGAGGAAUUAUUGAAAACACUUUGUGUGAGAUCUUAUUAAAAUGAUGUACCUUAAAGAAAUUGUGUCAAAGAAUGAUGGAAACUUAGUAACAAAAUAGUAUGCAAUGUGGAUGACUUUAAGAAAAUGUGGUGUGAGUGAAGGGCAAGUGCAGAAUAAUUGACAAAGGUCUUGCUUCUGAGUCACUGGAAGUGAAAUACCGUAAGGAUCUGGUCCUCCAUGUUCAUUGACAAAAUUUAAGUCAGUUGAUGUACAAAGUGACCCCCUGAGUCAAUUUCUUUGCCAGUGGCUGAGAAGAUGGUUGAACUCUGUCAAUCAAAAGUUCAAAUUUGUUAUUUUUUUUAUUCAAUGUUGAUUAUUAUGAUUAUUUUACUGUAAUUAUAACCCUUUACUGUUACUGGGUUUUUAAAGGAGUGCUUCAUGUUUCAAUAAGUGGACUUAAAGUUUAUUGUAUAGUAGAAAUACCUCCUCUGUUAUGUUGUUGAGAUGGUUUUUCACUGAUAGUUUUGUUCCUUUAUAUUCUGGAUAUAUCCCAACACUGUCAGGUAUACAGUUAUUAACAUAAUUUAAACAAUAUUUGUUUUGUAUAGUUAAAUGUCAUAUGAAAUAGUUUGUUUAAAUGCAUUUAGCCCACAGCGAAGUAAGUACGAAUCUCGCUUUUGAGUGAACUUUUUUGGGUUGUCAUGAGAGUGAAUGUUAGUUUGGUGACUGUUUGACGAUACUUUUGUUCUGAUUUCAAAAGGAAAAUCUUGAAAGAAAUGCAUUUAUUAGGUUAUAUUUUUUUGUAAUUUUAUUAUUGCUUUAAUCAAAUUGAAUUCAGUAUAUUCAAACAAUAAAGAAUAUGUUUUGUAUAUAUGUUACUUCAUUGAUUUUAAUUUGUAAAGUCAAAUAGUCACUUAACAGGGAAGAUGGUUGAGUUUUGGUACAGUGCACUGCAACUGGUCUGUUAUUCAUUUACGGAAAAUAACCCAUUCUUAUCUAGUCCAAAAAAUAAUUAAGAUGUAGGGUUGAAGAAAUUGUAAUAAUCAAUGAUGCAAGACUAGGUUGGCAAUGUCGGUGAGGAUACAAGAAGAGCAUACUUCAAAAAAGUAAUAUUGCACAGUGCACUGGAUCUCAAUGGUCUCCCUGGUGUUUGUUGGAACAAAGACAGAGCUAAGACAAGCUAGAGUUUAUCUGUUAAUUAUGACCCUGUAUCAUGGAUUGCCUUAUUUGAGAAUAUUAUGAGAGACACUGACUUCCCAUAUGGCAUGGUUAUUCAUCCUUAGAAAUUGAUCUUGUGUGCAAAAUGUGCAUGGAAUAUAAGUUUUUAGCUUGUAUCUACAGUGUAUUUCUAAUUUGCAUAUGUUCUCAAAUGCCAAUAUUCUGAUGCAAAUAAGGCCUAGUAUACAAGGUCAUAAUUUCAGUAAAACUCUGCUCAAUACACCGCCACAGUACAAAAGAGGUGGGCUGAGACAGGCAGAGUCUACCUCAGUGUUCAUGGUCAUGGAAAUAAAAUUGCUGUGUCAGAAAAAAGCAUUGCAAGCAAUGUGUUAUGUUAUCACAAUCUACUCAUGAUAUAUAUAAUAAAAGAUGCAAGGUUCUGCUAGUGAAGUGGAAACACUUAUUUGAUUUGUAAGGUAUAUAUCUAUUUCCAUUAACGAUAACGACUGAUGUUUUCACAACAUUAUCUUCCUCAUCACUGAAAAUUGUAACUUUCAAGGAAAAUAUUUGCUUUGAUAAAUAUUGUAAGAAUUGAUAAUUGACAUACAGUAAAAGUCCAAUAAUCCGAAUGGCAGCGGACUGAAGGUCAUUCAGAUCAUCGAACUGCUCAGCUUAUUGGGAGGGACUGACGAUAAUGUAAAAAUUAUUUGCAUAAUCACCAAUAAUAUAUAAAAGGGCUAAACAUCAGUUUUAGGAAGGUAAAUUCAUAUAAAGAGAGUGAACCAGACGUAAAAAGGCACAAAAUAGUAAAGCAGGAUUACUAAAAUGCCAAGCAACAAGGAUGUUCCAUUCGAAAGGAUAAUCCCUCUGACAGCCAUGGAGUAAAGUCAAAGCUACCAUGUAAUGUAUUUUCUCUUCAUUUAUUCACUUUUCUCACAUUUAUAAUAUUUUUACCCAGUUACUGUCCUGUGCAAAAUUCCUUGACCUACUGUGCUUGUCAUUUUCUUCAUCACUUUCACUCGUCCUCGAGCAAUGGCUUAGGACCAUCACUUGUAGAAGCCUGGGGAGCCAUCUUUCCGACAAUAUAGGGCAAAUAUAUGACUGCCAACAUCUACACUAAAUCUAAAUCUCUCGAGUCUCCUAUUUCACAUCCCAGAUGCUGGGUUCAGCAUGCUGCAUUUGUGGCCUUAUUUGUUUUAUGUAUUGUUCAUCAAGAAAUAUUUGUCAGCCACUUUAGAAAGUUUGGACUGUUGGGAUUUUCAGAAUAUCCAUGUUUGGAUUGUUGGACUUUUAUUGUGAUUGUUUUGUAAAAAUUUAUGGUUUGGCAAGCAGAUUUAAAAAAUAAUGAAUUAGGCAUCUAAGAACUCUGAAUAUAUAUAUAUA